rnacentral:SRP_RNA from 1 species
GCUGGGCGCAGUGGCGCGUGCCUGUAGUCCCAGCUACUUGGGAGGCUGAGGUGGGAGGAUCGAUUGAGCCCAGGAGUUCUGGGCUGUAGUGCGCUAUGCCAGUCGGGUGUUCGCACUAAGUUCGGCAUAAAUAUGGUGAACUCCCAGGAGCAGGGUACCACCAGGUCUCCUAAGGAGGGGUGAACCGGCCCAGGUCAGAAACUGAGCAGGUCAAAACUCCGGUGUUGAUCAGUAGUGGCAUUGCGCCUGUGAAUAGCCACUGCACUCCAGCCUGGGCAACAUAGCGAGACCCGGUCUCU